AUGCAGCAAGUGGCCCAGAAAAUAGCUUACCACAGCGUCCUGGUGGAACCCAUCAGCUGCCAGCCUGGAACAAGGAUCCUACAUAAAUCACCAUCUGCCCCAACAACCAUGAGGUGCACAUCUACAAAGAGUGGAGCCAAAUGGACCAAGGUUCACAAGCUCAAGGAGCACAACAGGCAGGUGACAGGCAUCGACUGGGCCCCUGAGGAUAACCACAUCGUGACCUGUGGCACAGACCCGCAAUACCUGUAUGUGGACGCUGAACGGCUGCACGUGAAAGCCCACACUGGUCAUCCUGAGAAUCAACCGUGCUGCCCACUGUGUGCGCUGGGCCCCCAGUGUGAACAAUGAGAACUGCACAUGGGCAUUGGUUCCCGUGUCAUCUCCAUCUGUUAUUUCAAGAAUGGUGGGUGUGCAAGCACAUUAAGAAGCCCAUCCGCUCCUCUGUCCUCGGCUUCCACCUGCACCCUACCAACCUACUGCUGGCUGCAGGCUCCUAUGACUUCAAGUGCAAGAUCUUCUCAGCCUACAUCAAGGAGGUGGAAAAACGACCAGCCCCCACACCUUGGGGCUCCAAAAUGCGCUUUGGGGAGCUGGUGUUUGAGUCCAGCAGCAGCUGCGGCUGGGUGCACGGUGUUUGUUUCUCAGCCUGGGAGCCGUGUGGCCUGGGUCAGCCAUGACAGCAUUGUGUGCCUGGCAGAUGCCAACCCUGGCCUCUAAAACACUGCCAUCACCUUCAUGACAGAAAACAAGUUUAGUGGCAGUGGGCCACAACUGCUUCCCAAUGCUGUCUCCCUACGACAGCGCUGCAGGGAAGCUGAGCUUUGGCAGGCUGGACGAGACCACUUCCAGAACCUCCACAAGGUCGGCUCGGAGGGCGGCCCAACUUCGGGCGCAGGCCUGGACUCCCUGCACAAGAACAGCGUCAGCCAAGCCUCAGUGCUGAGCCUGGACAAGGCCAAGUGCUCUAAGUUCUGCACCACUGGGUGGUGGUUUGAGCAUCUGGGAGGUGAAGAGCCUGGAGUCAGCCCUGAAGGACCUGAAGAUCAAACAGGCUUUGAGGAGUGCUGCCCUCAUCCCAGCUGCCAGGGAAGGGGGACAAGAACAGGGUCAGGGAGGCUAA